rnacentral:rRNA from 1 species
GGUUAAGCGACUAAGCGUACACGGUGGAUGCCCUGGCAGUCAGAGGCGAUGAAGGACGUGCUAAUCUGCGAUAAGCGUCGGUGAGGUGAUAUGAACCGUUAUAACCGGCGAUUUCCGAAUGGGGAAACCCAGUGUGUUUCGACACACUAUCAUUAACUGAAUCCAUAGGUUAAUGAGGCGAACCGGGGGAACUGAAACAUCUAAGUACCCCGAGGAAAAGAAAUCAACCGAGAUUCCCCCAGUAGCGGCGAGCGAACGGGGAGGAGCCCAGAGCCUGAAUCAGUGUGUGUGUUAGUGGAAGCGUCUGGAAAGGCGUGCGAUACAGGGUGACAGCCCCGUACACAAAAAUGCACAUAUUGUGAGCUCGAUGAGUAGGGCGGGACACGUGGUAUCCUGUCUGAAUAUGGGGGGACCAUCCUCCAAGGCUAAAUACUCCUGACUGACCGAUAGUGAACCAGUACCGUGAGGGAAAGGCGAAAAGAACCCCGGCGAGGGGAGUGAAAAAGAACCUGAAACCGUGUACGUACAAGCAGUGGGAGCCUCUUAAUGGGGUGACUGCGUACCUUUUGUAUAAUGGGUCAGCGACUUAUAUUCUGUAGCAAGGUUAACCGAAUAGGGGAGCCGAAGGGAAACCGAGUCUUAACUGGGCGUUAAGUUGCAGGGUAUAGACCCGAAACCCGGUGAUCUAGCCAUGGGCAGGUUGAAGGUUGGGUAACACUAACUGGAGGACCGAACCGACUAAUGUUGAAAAAUUAGCGGAUGACUUGUGGCUGGGGGUGAAAGGCCAAUCAAACCGGGAGAUAGCUGGUUCUCCCCGAAAGCUAUUUAGGUAGCGCCUCGUGAAUUCAUCUCCGGGGGUAGAGCACUGUUUCGGCAAGGGGGUCAUCCCGACUUACCAACCCGAUGCAAACUGCGAAUACCGGAGAAUGUUAUCACGGGAGACACACGGCGGGUGCUAACGUCCGUCGUGAAGAGGGAAACAACCCAGACCGCCAGCUAAGGUCCCAAAGUCAUGGUUAAGUGGGAAACGAUGUGGGAAGGCCCAGACAGCCAGGAUGUUGGCUUAGAAGCAGCCAUCAUUUAAAGAAAGCGUAAUAGCUCACUGGUCGAGUCGGCCUGCGCGGAAGAUGUAACGGGGCUAAACCAUGCACCGAAGCUGCGGCAGCGACACUAUGUGUUGUUGGGUAGGGGAGCGUUCUGUAAGCCUGUGAAGGUGGCCUGUGAGGGUUGCUGGAGGUAUCAGAAGUGCGAAUGCUGACAUAAGUAACGAUAAAGCGGGUGAAAAGCCCGCUCGCCGGAAGACCAAGGGUUCCUGUCCAACGUUAAUCAGGGCAGGGUGAGUCGACCCCUAAGGCGAGGCCGAAAGGCGUAGUCGAUGGGAAACAGGUUAAUAUUCCUGUACUUGGUGUUACUGCGAAGGGGGGACGGAGAAGGCUAUGUUGGCCGGGCGACGGUUGUCCCGGUUUAAGCGUGUAGGCUGGUUUUCCAGGCAAAUCCGGAAAACCAAGGCUGAGGCGUGAUGACGAGGCACUACGGUGCUGAAGCGACAAAUGCCCUGCUUCCAGGAAAAGCCUCUAAGCAUCAGGUAACAUCAAAUCGUACCCCAAACCGACACAGGUGGUCAGGUAGAGAAUACCAAGGCGCUUGAGAGAACUCGGGUGAAGGAACUAGGCAAAAUGGUGCCGUAACUUCGGGAGAAGGCACGCUGAUAUGUAGGUGAAGCGACUUGCUCGUGGAGCUGAAAUCAGUCGAAGAUACCAGCUGGCUGCAACUGUUUAUUAAAAACACAGCACUGUGCAAACACGAAAGUGGACGUAUACGGUGUGACGCCUGCCCGGUGCCGGAAGGUUAAUUGAUGGGGUUAGCGGUAACGCGAAGCUCUUGAUCGAAGCCCCGGUAAACGGCGGCCGUAACUAUAACGGUCCUAAGGUAGCGAAAUUCCUUGUCGGGUAAGUUCCGACCUGCACGAAUGGCGUAAUGAUGGCCAGGCUGUCUCCACCCGAGACUCAGUGAAAUUGAACUCGCUGUGAAGAUGCAGUGUACCCGCGGCAAGACGGAAAGACCCCGUGAACCUUUACUAUAGCUUGACACUGAACAUUGAGCCUUGAUGUGUAGGAUAGGUGGGAGGCUUUGAAGUGUGGACGCCAGUCUGCAUGGAGCCGACCUUGAAAUACCACCCUUUAAUGUUUGAUGUUCUAACGUUGGCCCGUAAUCCGGGUUGCGGACAGUGUCUGGUGGGUAGUUUGACUGGGGCGGUCUCCUCCUAAAGAGUAACGGAGGAGCACGAAGGUUGGCUAAUCCUGGUCGGACAUCAGGAGGUUAGUGCAAUGGCAUAAGCCAGCUUGACUGCGAGCGUGACGGCGCGAGCAGGUGCGAAAGCAGGUCAUAGUGAUCCGGUGGUUCUGAAUGGAAGGGCCAUCGCUCAACGGAUAAAAGGUACUCCGGGGAUAACAGGCUGAUACCGCCCAAGAGUUCAUAUCGACGGCGGUGUUUGGCACCUCGAUGUCGGCUCAUCACAUCCUGGGGCUGAAGUAGGUCCCAAGGGUAUGGCUGUUCGCCAUUUAAAGUGGUACGCGAGCUGGGUUUAGAACGUCGUGAGACAGUUCGGUCCCUAUCUGCCGUGGGCGCUGGAGAACUGAGGGGGGCUGCUCCUAGUACGAGAGGACCGGAGUGGACGCAUCACUGGUGUUCGGGUUGUCAUGCCAAUGGCACUGCCCGGUAGCUAAAUGCGGAAGAGAUAAGUGCUGAAAGCAUCUAAGCACGAAACUUGCCCCGAGAUGAGUUCUCCCUGACUCCUUGAGGGUCCUGAAGGAACGUUGAAGACGACGACGUUGAUAGGCCGGGUGUGUAAGCGCAGCGAUGCGUUGAGCUAACCGGUACUAAUGAACCGUGAGGCUUAACCUU